UACGGGGGGGGCAAGCGUUGUUCGGAAUUACUGGGCGUAAAGGGCUCGUAGGCGGCCAACUAAGUCGGAUGUGAAAUCCCCAGGCUUAACCUGGGAACUGCAUCCGAUACUGGAUGGCUUGAAUCCGGGAGAGGGAUGCGGAAUUCCAGGUGUAGCGGUGAAAUGCGUAGAUAUCAGGAGGAACACCGGUGGCGAAGGCGGGUCUCUGGGCCGAUACUGACGCUGAGGAGCGAAAGCGUGGGGAGCGAACAGG
rnacentral:rRNA from 1 species